rnacentral:tRNA from 1 species
UCCCUGGUAGUCCAGUGGCUAGGACUCCACACUCCCAACGCAGGGAGCCCAGGUUUGAUUCCUGGUCAGGGAA